UGGCUCCGUGCUCUGCCACCCAGGCUCUGCGGGCUGCGCUUUUUGUACAAAAAAAAAAAAGUGGGGGGGUUUGGGCAACUAGUACAUUUAUUUUUCAAGCUCUUUGCUGGUUUAAGCGAGCGUGAGCUGUGAAUAAACAAAGGCAGUAAACAAGAAAAAAAAAAACCCUGAACAGAUUCCAGGAGGGUAAACUUCCAGCAAUAGAAGCAGCACGUCACUCUUUAGCAAAUUGACUCACUUAUUAUAUUCCCUUCCCUGUGCUCCGCACUCAUUCUGCCACCCAGAAUUUUAUCCAGCUGAUCAAUAUCUUCUGGCUGAAAUAUUCUUUGUUUUCCCAAUGUCGAAAUCUUUGCUUUGGUCUUAGAGUCAACAGUGAUUUAAAUCUUCAAUAAAACCUGCAAAGCGGAGUUACUGGGAGCCACGGCAGCAGCAGACAUGACAGUCCAUUUCUGUGCUUGAGCAGUUGGGAGAUAAGACACCUGGAUCAAAUGAUUUUCCCAGCCUUGGUUAAGUAUUUGACCCAGACCAAAAAAAUCUGCUUGGAAACAUGAAGCAUGACACUGCCUCGCAUGGUUUUGGGUUACUGGAAUGAUUUUGUGGAUGUCAUCAUAUUAUAACCUAAGCUUUGAGCAAUUAAAUACAUUUUCUGUUUUUUUAUACUAGCUCCUACUGAGGACGUGCAGGGCAUAGCUGUUUAUCCUCACUGUUGCAUUCCAUUAUAUUUACCUAAAAGUGUGCCUGUGUGAAUUUCUAGGCAGCACUCACGGGACAAGGACUAUUUGUAGCGUUCCCAAUUUUAGUCUAUGAGAAGCCAAUUUCAGUGCAGAUCAAGUCACUUGUAUAAUAGAGCUUUAUAAAGGUGUUCAAUUUGGUUUGACAUUAAAAAAAGCCUAAUGUAAAUAAAAUCAAAAUAAACUGGUUUUCCCUUAA